GUGGGGAAUCUUCCGCAAUGGGCGAAAGCCUGACGGAGCAACGCCGCGUGAGUGAUGAAGGCCUUCGGGCUGUAAAACUCUGUUGUCAGGGACGAAGGUGCAUCUUUCGAACAGAUGGGUGUAUUGACGGUACCUGACGAGGAAGCCACGGCUAACUACGUGCCAGCAGCCGCGGUAAUACGUAGGUGGCAAGCGUUGUCCGGAAUUAUUGGGCGUAAAGAGCAUGUAGGCGGGCUUUUAAGUCCGGCGUGAAAAUGCGGGGCUCAACCCCGUAGGGCGUUGGAAACUGGAAGUCUUGAGUGCAGGAGAGGAAAGGGGAAUUCCCAGUGUAGCGGUGAAAUGCGUAGAUAUUGGGAGGAACACCAGUGGCGAAGGCGCCUUUCUGGACUGUGUCUGACGCUCAGAUGCGAAAGCCAGGGUAGCAAACGGGAUUAGAAACCCGAGUAGUCC
rnacentral:rRNA from 1 species